rnacentral:lncRNA from 1 species
GCACUCAGCCCUCACCCAGUGCCGGGCCCUGUCCCUUCCUUGGGAGCCCCCAGAGUGGCCGUAACAAUCAGCAGAGUCUGUAGGAUGUACACAUCCAAAACUCUGGUGCUCUUGAGCAGUGCAUCAGAACAAGGCUAAAUGUUGUCUUUUGCUUUGGGUUGUGUUUCCCUGUGUCAACACUGUGGCUCUGUGUGUGUGGAUUUUUCUCAGGGGCCAACCUGGUGACAGCAGCAGCGUGUACCUACACGAAGAGUGCAGCAUGUGGCUGUCGGCCAGGCCACUUCUGCAGCUUCCCUGGGCCUGAAGUCUGUGCAGUGUGCCAGCCCUACACUGUCUGUUUGCCUGGCACUGUGGUCAAAGAAUGGGGUACAGCCACCAAGGACCAUGUGUGUGAAGUCUGUCCUCCUGGCACCUUCUCUUCAGCCAACAUGUCUGUGGCCUGCACACCAGGGCCCAGACGUAAGAAGCAGGACCUGCUCAUAUUCACCGCAAUCCUUGUCUGUGUUAUGGUGGUGUUGACUGCUGCUGCUGCCUUCAUGGAAGCCUGUCAACGGCUUCGAAGGAAAAUGAGAAGUCGUGUGCCAUCUGUGCAGGAGUCCGAGCUUUAACAGCGUGGUCAGGCUUUGAGGUUCAUCGAGGAGAAAGGGGCUCAAACAACUGUUCCUGUGCAAGAAGUUGGUGCUGACCCUGAAGAAACCAAGCCUGAAUCAGAGUCUUGUUUGACCCAUGGCAGACAAUGGGGAUGGUUAAAAACAACCAAGCACAAACCCUUUUUUCCUAAAACUUUGUGAAGGGAAAGUCAGUUUAGAAAUUCUUUUGUGUCUGCUGAGAACUGCUUUUACUUUUGGUGGUCAAAUAAGAGACCAGUCAAGAAGACAGUUCUGACAUUUCCUUCUGAAAACUCCAGGAGCACCCAGCAAAUCCACUACUGGUUUUGUGUUUGCUGGUUUGUGGCUGGUCUGACUGUGUCAUGAUGAUCAGUAAAGGGAGGAACUGCGGAAGUACAAAUCUUUUUUCCUGACCUUUUUUGUCUUUGGUAAGUUCUUUAGUAGCUGGUUAAUGUUUCAUUAACAUUGGAUAUUUUCCAACAUUUCCAACUGUAGAAACUGGUAAUUGUUAACUCCUUCUUGUCUCUCUGCAACGCCUGUGCAUGAAGGGUCCAUUGUAAAUAAAAAAAGCUUUUUGAGCA